AAUUGCAGAAUCCCGUGAACCAUCGAGUCUUUGAACGCAAGUUGCGCCCCAAGCCUUUAGGCCGAGGGCACGUCUGCCUGGGUGUCACGCAUCGUUGCCCCACCCCCACCCCCACCCCGGGGGCCUGGCGGUGCGGGCGGAUAAUGGCCUCCCGUGCGCUCCCCGCUCGCGGUUGGCCCAAAUUCGAGUCCUCGGCGACCGGAGCCGCGACAAUCGGUGGUGAAAACAAGCCUCUCGAGCUCAAGUCGCGGGCCCGCGUCUCCGUUUCGGGACUCAGGGACCCUGGCGCUCCGCGCAAGCGGCGCUCGCAUCGCGACCCCAGGUCAGGCGGGAUUACCCGCUGAGUUUA
rnacentral:rRNA from 1 species